CGAGUCCGAGUCUCCACGGAGACGAAGUGGCGGUCAUCCAGCUUCCUAGAAAAGCUCUAACCACGUUAAUCUUUAGUUGCCUGUACCCGAAACCGACACAGGUAGGGGGGUAGAGAAUACCAAGGGGCGCGAGAUAACUCUCUCUAAGGAACUCGGCAAAAUGACCCCGUAACUUCGGGAGAAGGGGUACCACUGAGAAGUGGUCGCAGUGAAGAGGCCCAGGCGACUGUUUACCAAAAACACAGGUCUCCGCCAAGUCGCAAGACGAAGUAUGGGGGCUGACGCCUGCCCAGUGCCGGAAGGUUAAGGAAGUGGGUUAGGGAUUCGUCCCGAAGCUGACGACUGAAGCCCCGGUGAACGGCGGCCGUAACUAUAACGGUCCUAAGGUAGCGAAAUUCCUUGUCGGGUAAGUUCCGACCCGCACGAAAGGCGUAACGAUCUGGGCGCUGUCUCGGAGAGAGGCUCGGCGAAAUAGGAAUGUCUGUGAAGAUACGGACUACCUGCACCUGGACAGAAAGACCCUAUGAAGCUUUACUGUAGCUUGGAAUUGGGUACGGGCUUGGUUUGCGCAGGAUAGGUGGGAGGCGAAGAAGAUUUGCUUGUGGGUGAAUCUGAGCCAACGGUGAGAUACCACUCUAACCAGGCUAGAAUUCUAACUUCAACCCGUCAACCGGGGGAAGGACAGUUUCAGGUGGGCAGUUUGACUGGGGCGGUCGCCUCCUAAAAGAUAACGGAGGCGCACAAAGGUUCCCUCAGGCUGGUUGGAAAUCAGCCAACGAGUGCAAAGGCAGAAGGGAGCUUGACUGCGAGACCUACAAGUCAAGCAGGGUGGAAACACGGUCUUAGUGAUCCGACGGCACCGAGUGGAAGGGCCGUCGCUCAACGGAUAAAAGUUACUCUAGGAUAACAGGCUGAUCUCCCCCAAGAGUUCACAUCGACGGGGAGGUUUGGCACCUCGAUGUCGGCUCAUCGCAACCUGGGGCGGAAGUACAUCCCAAGGGUUGGGCUGUUCGCCCAUUAAAGCGGUACGUGAGCUGGGUUCAGAACGUCGUGAGACAGUUCGGUCCAUAUCCGGUGUAGGCGCAAGAACAUUGAGAGGAGUCUUCCUUAGUACGAGAGGACCGGGAAGAACGCACCGCUGGUGUACCUGUUAUCGUGCCAACGGUAAACGCAGGGUAGCCAAGUGCGGAGUGGAUAACCGCUGAAAGCAUCUAAGUGGGAAGCCCACCUCAAGAUGAGUGUUCUCAUGGAGUAAUCCAGUAAGGUCACGGGAAGACGACCCGUUGGUAGGCGGUAGGUGGAAGUUCAGCAAUGGAUGAAGCCGAGCCGUACUAACAGACCGAGGGCUUGACC
rnacentral:rRNA from 1 species